rnacentral:lncRNA from 1 species
GAAGUAAGUAUAAUUAUAAAUUUUACUUUAACCUUUUUUAACAAAACAUAACAUUUCAGUUCAGUUAAAUGUAAGAAAAAUAAACUAAGUUUCAUAUGGCUGUUAAUUAUAUAUAUACAGUACAUUAAAGUACGACUCCCAAAAUUUUAUUUAGCCUAUAUAUGCCAUAAGUUAAAAUUUAAACGUUUUAAUACCGAGAUAGUAGAUAGAGUGAUGAUCUUCGCUAACAAUCCCCGAGUCUGCAGAUUGGUUUUUAACUAUAAAACAAAUGGACAAAAACAAUCAAAGUAAGCUUUUAUAGCUUAGUAAGUUUAUAGCAUAUCUAAAAUACAUAUAAACGAACAUAUGUAUAAACAUUAUAUGCUUAUAAUCAAGUUACAGACAUAAUCAUUAAUUGCAUAUACUAAUUUCUAAUAUACUUAUCAUUUGCAUUUCAUCGAAUGCAUAUCUAUGAUCUUUCAAAUACAUAAGUCAAAAGCUUAUAUUUUUACUUAUCAACUACAUGAACCAAAUGCACAUUUAUACUUCUAAUCCACAUGUGCCGAAUGCAUACAUGUAUAUUUAACAAUUUUCAUAACAACCAAUAUAUGUGCCUAUUCACUAAACACAUAGAUCCAAACUUUUAUAUGUUCAUCAAAUACAUAUAAAUAAAUGUUCAUACACUUAUCCAUUACAUAUAACCAAAAUCAUAUGUAUAUAUCAAAUGCAUAUAAUCACUUAAUUUAACAGAUUCACCGGCACUUAGCCUGCUAGGCUUAUAGCCUGAUUCUGGCACUUAACCUGCUAGGUUUAUAACCUGAUUCAGAUCACCGGCACUUAGCCUGCUAGGUUUAUAACCUGAUUCAGAUCAUCGGCACUUAGCCUGCUAGGUUUAUAACCUGAUUUAGAUCACCGGCACUUAGCCUGCUAGACGUAUAGUCUGAAUAAUUUCACUGGCAAUAAAUCCGAUUGGUACUGAGCUUUAACAAAAGAAUUUCAAUUCACAGAAGUUGUAUCUCAUAUUUGUAUAUAAAAUCCACAUAAAAUUCAGCUCAAUAUUCAUAACUUAUAUCUUUAAAACACAUGGAUAUAUAUAAAUCCCAAUCAUCAAAUCUAACUUAAAUAAUUCAAUAAUUCAACCGAAACACAUUUAUAUAUAUAUAUAUAUAUAUAUAUAUAUAUAUAUAUAUAUAUAUCCGCAUACGUGAGAUUCCACUACUAAUAUCAUAAGAUUUAACUUAUAAUAUACUAUGUACUUUUAACAUUUGAAUUUCAUAUAUACCUAUAUAAUUUCAUAUACCUUUUCAAUACAAGAUCUUAUACAUGUACAUAUAUACAUAUUCGAAUCUAACAAAUAUAUAUUACUCUAUGCUUAUAUUCGAAACAAGAACUUGUACUUUUAUACAUUAUACACAUACAUAUUCGAAAUUAACACACAUAUAUAUAAAUAUAAUUUCAUACCUAUACUUAAUAUAAUUAUUUAUUCAUAUAUAUAUAUAUAUAUAUAUAUCUGCGUAUGCAAUCCAACUUAUACAAAUAUUUGAUACAUAUAUAUAUAUAUAUAUAUAUCUUUAUAUAUAUCUCUAUUCGAAUAUCAUGUAAACAUAUAAAACAAUUAACAUUAACUAAAUUAAAACUUUAUUGACAUAUAUACAUACCUAUGUUCGAAUACAUCACAUGCCUAUAGUUCCAUACCUAAAUUAUUUACAAAGACAUUGAUGUAUAUAUAUUUGUAUAUUCAUACUCAUCCGAACCUAACACAUAUAUAUACAUAAUUUUCAUACUUCUCAUUCGACUUAUAUACUUUUAAUUUUAACUCAACAUAAAUACAUUUGAUAUUCAUACAUGUAAUAUAAACUGAUUUAAUAAAAUUAAAUAGCUAAUAAACUUACCUCGGAUAUCAACGGACACGAUCGACUAUUCAACUACUUUCGUUUUUCCCCGAUCCAAAUCUGUUUUCUUCGUUUCUCGAUCUAAACAUAUUCAAAUUUAAUUUUUUUUAUUCAUAAAAACAUUCAAUUAAAUCCAAAAAUACAUAAAUGGGCAAAUUACUAUUUUGCCCCUAACAUUUUACACUUUUUACAAUUUAGUCCUAUUUGCUCAAAACACAAAAUAUACAAAAUUUGACUACACUCCUUUAGGGCCUAAUAUUCCUAGUAUCUUUACAAGCCCAUACAUUUCAUUUAUUUCACAUUUUAACCCCUCAAAAAUUUAUUUUUACAAUUUAACCCUAAUUACUCAAAUUCAUCAAAAAUUCAAAGACAAAACAUAUUAAUCUUUCUCAUAUCUUUCAUAUUUCAUCAUCAACUAUCACAAAGCUCAAGCAUUCAUCAAUGGUGCAUCUCAAAAUCAUCAACAAUUCAUAAAAUUAAGGCAUGGGUUUUAAAGUAUUCGAAACAACGAUCUCAAAAACGUAAAAAUUAUCGAAAACCGAACAAAAACGAACCUUGAAUUUAAGCUUGAAUAUGACUGAAACUUGACUAAGCUUUAAUGGCUUUCUUCCUUCUUGGUUUCGGC